GUGCUGUGUUCUGUUUCCGGUGUAGGCCGGAAGUUACGGUGUGGAAGUCACCCCUCUCCUGACCGCUCUGUGUGCCCAGCGUUAGGGUUAGGAGAGGGUCACACAUUGUUCAGUAGGAUGCAGAGCUGCAGACGCAGUGGCUGAUGGAUGGCCGUUCAGACUUGUUCCCUGGUUCAGCCUCAGACGGGAAACCGUAAUUCACACAGUGGAGGAACAUGAACACGGAUCAGGCCCCUCUCUGUUGCUCUGCACAAGUUUAUUCCUGAAUUCAGGAAGAGAUGAAGAGGUUCUGGGAGAGAGGGAGGGAGGGAGCUCAGUGGGCUAGGAUAGAAGGAUGGGACAGAGAGUAAAUCUUCACACACAGCUGUCCUCUAUCUCCUGUAGUAGGAUACCAGGACACUGCAGGUGAUGCUAUAUACAUACUAUCUCAUACUCAUUAAUGUCAUGGAACACCUACACAUGACUGAUAUACUGUACAGUCAAGCCUCAUUUACUGUACCUGUCCACCUUUAACAGUACGUUUCCAUCACAAACACACUAUCACACACUUGGUGUGGUCAACAAACAAAAAUAUUGGUGCGCCACAUGUGUGCACUCUCAAUGACCCCAACACACAUAGACACUGUACUGUUGACUAACCCCAUUCCGUACCAAAACCGCGGCAUUCAAACGAGGCUGCAAUGAAAACUAAUGGGACUGUAGAGACUGUGUUGGCAUCAAAAUCUGGGGUGUGAACUACGUUUCUAUUCAAGCGUUGAUUGACAUGGUAAUGGCCCAAUAGUAUUGGAGAAAAGUUGAAAAAACGGACCCCUCUGACGCUGUAGGUUAAAUUGUGACGUCAUGACAUAACGCACAGCAGGCAUAAUGCAACUUGUUCUUUGUCGUACAGCCUCUCUCCACCAGGUGUAGCGCUUCUCUCCCAGUUUAAAAACAAGAAAGGGACAGGGACAGGGUGAGGGGAGAUAUCUCGUCAAUUGUACAACUGAGUGCAUUCAUUUUUUGCUUCAUCACGUUUAGCCAACAUGACUCUCAAAAGCCGCUGUUAACUUCAGAAGAUAACUUCAGCGCCGCCCUAAAAACCCCAUUCAAAUUCGACACAAACCUUCAAAUAGGGAAGUUGCAUGCUGCUCAGUUGGAUCCUCUCCGGUCCACAUGCUCUUCCUGUCCAGGCCAGGGCCAGAUGAGGAGGUCACAGAUCACUCCUCCGGACAGGAACACCAGAUGACUUUACACAGUGAGAGCUCUAUGCAUGUUAUGUUCUAUGGACUUUAAACUGGGAUUUGUAUGUGCACUUUAGCUAGUAGGAGACGGAUACAGUGUGUUAUAUGUACUGUAUACCUUUAAAACAAAAUGAAUUCCUUUAGACAGCCUACUGUAUACAUUUCUCACUCAUAUUAAAGGAUGUUCAACACACGCACAGUAUGUGUCUUCAGCUGGUCUUAUCUAACUCAUUUUUUCUGACAUAAAAGCUUGCUAAUAAGCUUCCUAAGGGUUCCGCCCCCUGUUGAGGCUAGUUACUCAUGGGCCCAGACCCACUGGCUUAUAGCAGAUCACCAUGC
rnacentral:lncRNA from 1 species